GACGAACGCUGGCGGCGUGCCUAAUACAUGCAAGUCGAACGCAGUGGGGACGGGUGAGUACCACGUUGGUAACCUCCCCAUCCGAGGGGAUAACACUUGGAAACAGGUGCUAAACCGAUACGUAUAGAUGGACCCGCGGUGCAUUAGCUGGGUGGUGAGGUAACGGAUCACUAAGGCCACGAUGCAUAGGCGACAUGAGAGGCGGACCGGGCACACUGUGACGUGUGCGCGGCCCAGGCUGGUACGGGAGGCAGCCGGAGGGAAUCUGGGGCAAUGGCCGAAAUGCUGACCGAGCAACGCCGCGUGAGUGAGGAAGGUUUUCGGAUCGUAAAACUCUGUUGUUAGGGAGGCGGUAUCUAACCAGAAAGCCACGGCUAACUACGUGCCAGCCGCCGCGGUAAUAC
rnacentral:rRNA from 1 species